rnacentral:tRNA from 1 species
GGGGUUGUGGCUCAGCGGUAGAGCACUCACCUAGCAUGUGCGAGGCCCUGGGUUUGAUCCUCAGCACCACA